UACGGGGGGAGCAAGCGUUGUUCGGAUUUACUGGGCGUAAAGGGCGCGUAGGCGGCCACCGCAAGUCGACUGUGAAAUCUCCGGGCUUAACCCGGAAAGGUCAGCCGAUACUGCGGGGCUAGAGUGCAGAAGGGGCAACUGGAAUUCUCGGUGUAGCGGUGAAAUGCGUAGAUAUCGAGAGGAACACCUGCGGCGAAGGCGGGUUGCUGGGCCGACACUGACGCUGAUGCGCGAAAGCUAGGGGAGCGAACGGG
rnacentral:rRNA from 1 species